rnacentral:rRNA from 1 species
AUUGAACGCUGGCGGCAUGCCUUACACAUGCAAGUCGAACGGCAGCACGGGUGCUUGCACCUGGUGGCGAGUGGCGAACGGGUGAGUAAUACAUCGGAACAUGUCCUGUAGUGGGGGAUAGCCCGGCGAAAGCCGGAUUAAUACCGCAUACGAUCUACGGAUGAAAGCGGGGGACCUUCGGGCCUCGCGCUAUAGGGUUGGCCGAUGGCUGAUUAGCUAGUUGGUGGGGGAAAGGCCUACCAAGGCGACGAUCAGUAGCUGGUCUGAGAGGACGACCAGCCACACGGGGACUGAGACACGGCCCAGACUCCUACGGGAGGCAGCAGUGGGGAAUUUUGGACAAUGGGCGAAAGCCUGAUCCAGCAAUGCCGCGUGUGUGAAGAAGGCCUUCGGGUUGUAAAGCACUUUUGUCCGGAAAGAAAUCCUUGGCCCUAAUACGGUCGGGGGAUGACGGUACCGGAAGAAUAAGCACCGGCUAACUACGUG